rnacentral:rRNA from 1 species
CCUACGGGCGGCAGCAGUGAGGAAUAUUGGUCAAUGGACGAGAGUCUGAACCAGCCAAGUAGCGUGAAGGAUGACUGCCCUAUGGGUUGUAAACUUCUUUUAUAAAGGAAUAAAACGAGGCACGUGUGCCUUUUCGCACGUACUUUAUGAAUAAGGAUCGGCUUACUCCGUUCCAGCAGACGCGGUAAUACGGAGGAUCCGAGCGUUAUCCGGAUUUAUUGGGUUUAAAGGGAGCGUAGAUGGGUUGUUAAGUCAGUUGUGAAAGUUUGCGGCCUAAACGUAAGAUUGCAAUUGAUACUGGCAGUCUUGAGUACAGUUGAGGUAAGCGGAAUUCGUGGUGUAGCGGUGAAAUGCUUAGAUAUCACGAAGAACCCCGAUUGCGAAGGCAGCUUACUAAACUGUGACUGACAUUGAUGCUCGAAAGUGUGGGUAUCAAACAGGAUUAGAUACCCGGGUAGUC